AAUAUGGAGAGUUUGAUCCUGGCUCAGGAUGAACGCUGGCGGCGUGCCUAAUACAUGCAAGUCGAGCGAACUGAAGAGGAGCUUGCUCCUUUGACGUUAGCGGCGGACGGGUGAGUAACACGUGGGUAACCUACCUAUAAGACUGGAAUAACUCCGGGAAACCGGGGCUAAUGCCGGAUAAUAUGUUGAACCGCAUGGUUCAACAGUGAAAGACGGUUUUGCUGUCACUUAUAGAUGGACCCGCGCCGCAUUAGCUAGUUGGUGAGGUAACGGCUCACCAA
rnacentral:rRNA from 1 species